rnacentral:rRNA from 1 species
AUUGAACGCUGGCGGCAUGCUUUACACAUGCAAGUCGAGCGGCAGCGCGGGGGCAACCCUGGCGGCGAGCGGCGAACGGGUGAGUAAUGCAUCGGAACGUACCCUGGAGUGGGGGGAUAACGCCGCGAAAGCGGCGCUAAUACCGCAUAUGCUCUGAGGAGGAAAGUGGGGGACCGCAAGGCCUCACGCUCUGGGAGCGGCCGAUGUCCGAUUAGCUAGUUGGUGGGGUAAAGGCUUACCAAGGCGACGAUCGGUAGCUGGUCUGAGAGGAUGAUCAGCCACACUGGGACUGAGACACGGCCCAGACUCCUACGGGAGGCAGCAGUGGGGAAUUUUGGACAAUGGGGGCAACCCUGAUCCAGCCAUGCCGCGUGAGUGAAGAAGGCC